rnacentral:rRNA from 1 species
AACGAACGCUGGCGGCAGGCUUAACACAUGCAAGUCGAACGCACCUUUCGGGGUGAGUGGCAGACGGGUGAGUAACGCGUGGGAAUCUACCCUUCUCUACGGGAUAGCUCCGGGAAACUGGAAUUAAUACCGUAUACGUCCUGAGGGAGAAAGAUUUAUCGGGGAAGGAUGAGCCCGCGUUGGAUUAGCUAGUUGGUGGGGUAAAGGCCUACCAAGGCGACGAUCCAUAGCUGGUCUAAGAGGAUGAUCAGCCACAUUGGGACUGAGACACGGCCCAAACUCCUACGGGAGGCAGCAGUGGGGAAUAUUGGACAAUGGGCGCAAGCCUGAUCCAGCCAUGCCGCGUGAGUGAUGAAGGCCCUAGGGUUGUAAAGCUCUUUCAGUGGGGACGAUAAUGACGGUACCCACAGAAGAAGCCCCGGCUAACUUCGUGCCAGCAGCCGCGGUAA